CUUGUAUCUGUUUUCUGUCACAGGGACUCAUCAAGAACACUGGGCACCGAGGUCAGAGGAAAGAGGUGAUGCUCCGUGCAGCUAUAGUGGCUGUUAGAGCUGGCUUCAGGAAUCGUCAUCAUUGGGACUAUUGCUUUUGCUGUAGCUCUCCUUGUUGGGAUAUCGUAAAUCCAGAAAAGUAGCAUGUACAUAAAGGUUGUGCCUGUACCAGCAUUUGAAUCACAGUUGCUUUCAACAGAGUUGCUCUGUAUCAAUGCCAGUAUUGGUACCGGCCAACAAUACUGUGUAACAUAUCAUUUCUCACAUUUGCACACUAAGCGAAUGGAUAUUUUUAUAUAUGUCAAAGGUAACAAAAUGUGAGAUGGCAGUGUUUUUCCACCAAUGAUAAGUACCUUUUUUUUUUAUCAACUGUGGUAUCAAAGGGUACUUGGAAUCGGGGUGUGAAAAAAAGAGGUAUCUGAUCAGCUCCACUUUUCAAACAAACAUGUUCUAUGUAUAUUUUGCAACAAAUGUGUCAUUAUGAAUUUCUAACUUUUUUUUUAAUACAUUAUUAAAUUAUAUUAAAAUGCUAGUUGCUCAUGUAAA